rnacentral:rRNA from 1 species
GACGAACGCUGGCGGCGUGCUUAACACAUGCAAGUCGAACGGAAAGGCCCUGCUUUUGUGGGGUGCUCGAGUGGCGAACGGGUGAGUAACACGUGAGUAACCUGCCCUUGACUUUGGGAUAACUUCAGGAAACUGGGGCUAAUACCGGAUAGGAGCUCCUGCUGCAUGGUGGGGGUUGGAAAGUUUCGGCGGUUGGGGAUGGACUCGCGGCUUAUCAGCUUGUUGGUGGGGUAGUGGCUUACCAAGGCUUUGACGGGUAGCCGGCCUGAGAGGGUGACCGGCAACAUUGGGACUGAGAUACGGCCCAGACGCCUACGGGAGGCAGCAGUGGGGAAUAUUGCACAAUGGGCGGAAGCCUGAUGCAGCAACGCCGCGUGCGGGAUGACGGCCUUCGGGUUGUAAACCGCUUUCGCCUGUGACGAAGAGUGAGUGACGGUAAUGGGUAAAGAAGCACCGGCUAACUACGUG